rnacentral:tRNA from 1 species
GCGGAUGUAGCCAAGUGGAUCAAGGCAGUGGAUUGUGAAUCCACCAUGCGG